AAAUAUCUUGAUGCGGGACUCUUCCGAGGCCUCGCAAUCAGGAUGCGUUUACUUUAAAGCAGUAAACUGAACGCAAUUGGAGGGCAAGUCUGGUGCCAGCAGCCGCGGUAAUUCCAGCUCCAAUAGCGUAUAUUUAAGUUGCUGCGGUUAAAAAGCUCGUAGUUGGACUUUAUACUCAGGCAGCCAGUCCUCUUUCGAUGUAUUCUUUCCUCUAUAGCGGACAUGCCCGGUCCUGGCUCAUGUGUCUCAUCAACUCUUAUUAGUGCAAACGAACGGAGGAGUCACAAUUGCUUCGGGCUUGGUGUUUGAUCCCGUUUGGUUUGAUAUUUUUUCGUUAGAGGUUCUUACUGCGUCUGUGACUGAGUGUAUAUGAGACCGUCGAUUCAUACUUUUUCGAAAUAGCCUAUAAUUGUUCAUGGUGCAAUUAAGUUUGUGUCCGUAGCAGUACAAGGUACAUUCGUUCACAUAAAAGUUGUCGACUCUAUCACUUUGAAAAAAUUAGAGUGCUCAAAGCAGGCCUCAUUGCAUAAUUGCCUGAAUGGUAGUGCAUGGAAUGAUGGAAGAUGAUCUCUACCUCGUUAAGCUUAAAGGCAUCAAUAACAUUGUGUUUUUAUCUUUGCACCAGGUGGACAGGUACGGAUAAAGAUUCGAGGUUUGAGAUAAUGAUUAAAGGGAACUGCCGGGGGCGUUUGUAUUACGGCGCUAGAGGUGAAAUUCUUGGACCGUCGUAAGACAAACUACUGCGAAAGCAUUCGCCAAGAAUGUUUUCAUUAAUCAAGAACGAAAGUUAGAGUUUAGAAGGAGAUCAGAUACCUCCCUAUUUCUAACCGUAAACUAUGCUAACCGGUUGUCCGUCGGAAGUCAUUUCCGAGACUGGGCGAGCGACCCCAGGGAAACCAGAGUUUCUGAGUUCCGGGGGAAGUAUGGU
rnacentral:rRNA from 1 species